rnacentral:rRNA from 1 species
AGUGAACGCUGGCGGUAGGCCUACACAUGCAAGUCGAACGGCAGCACAGGAGAGCUUGCUCUCUGGGUGGCGAGUGGCGGACGGGUGAGGAAUACAUCGGAAUCUACUCUGUCGUGGGGGAUAACGUAGGGAAACUUACGCUAAUACCGCAUACGACCUACGGGUGAAAGCAGGGGACCUUCGGGCCUUGCGCGAUUGAAUGAGCCGAUGUCGGAUUAGCUAGUUGGCGGGGUAAAGGCCCACCAAGGCGACGACCCAUAGCUGGUCUGAGAGGAUGAUCAGCCACACUGGAACUGAGACACGGUCCAGACUCCUACGGGAGGCAGCAGUGGGGAAUAUUGGACAAUGGGCGCAAGCCUGAUCCAGCCAUACCGCGUGGGUGAAGAAGGCCUUCGGGUUGUAAAGCCCUUUUGUUGGGAAAGAAAUCCAGCUGGCUAAUACCCGGUUGGGAUGACGGUACCCAAAGAAUAAGCACCGGCUAACUUCGUGCCAGCCGCCGCCGUAA